rnacentral:sRNA from 1 species
UCUCCAGUGAGAGAGCCUGUGGUCCUGCACACAGUGAAGGAUUUGGCAGACAGUGGUACUGAUCUUAGAUUGACUGCUUCUUUUACUAUUUAAAUUUUUUUUUAUUACGCAACAAUGUUUAAUAUUUCUCCUACAACUGCCGGUUCAGAGAUGACCAAAUUUUUCCUAGCAGCCGCAACAUCGAGAAGUGAACUGAGGAGAGAAAAUAGGCUUCAGCACUCAGGAAAGACUGGCUGGCCCUUGCUUACGUGUCUAAAAUUGACAGGACAAGCUUGGCUUUCAUUGUGGACACUUGUGUCAGAGGAAACCCUCCAGGUGCUGGAGAGGACCCUUGAGGAUGGGCUGUGCUUGCUCUAGGUGUCUAGCCUUCUGUGAGGAGCUGGGACCCCUGUGGACUCCAUAGCUGCUUUGGUUCAAGACCAAACAGUUCAGUGACCUCUUGCUCACUGGCUUGAAUGUUUUCAUACGAUAAAUAAAGUAGCUAGUUAUUCUGAAGCAUCCAGUGCCCAGCACCCACGGUGCCUGCAGCCACCCUUUCUCCUCUGUCUGCUGCGCUGACCCACAUCUUGUGAGCUCUGUCUGCUGAACUAAAAAUACUUCUAAUAAGUGGUUAAGCGGCUGUCUGUCUUUUGGAUCCUGAGGUUAAAUUUUAAAAGUACUGUGUUAAGUUCUAGUGAGUCAGCCUCCCACCUAAUCCAUAGCACAGUGAAUUACUCACUUGAAUUUUAAAUAGAGAAGCUUCCUUUGCGGCUUUGGGUUUUCCGUACCUAUCAUGAAGUGAUGUCAUUGUGUAUCCGUGUAUUUCUAGCUUUUGCUGAGGACCCUAAUGACCGUUCUCUCUUAAGUUCCUCCCUAAGGAUCUGGCUCCUUCAGCGGCUGCUUCCUCAAGGCGCCAUCAAUAUUUGUUCUUUCUAUUUCUGGAAGUGAAAAAAGUCCCAUUGGCAAAGGGGAAGUUUUGAGCUACACAUGCAGAAGCACUUGGCAGGUCUAAGGGACCUGUGUGUUGUCUAAGGGACAGGUCUGUCCUUCUACCCUCUCCUUGAACCAAUCACAGGAGACCUUUAUCUUCAUGGAUCUUUUUCUAUCUUUGGUGCAGCCCAAACCUACCAUCAGAUCUCCUCAGAGAGAGCUUUAAGGUAUCUGAACUAGCAUCAAGUCUACUACCUGCCCACAAAGACUGGUUGAUUCGAUAUUCCUAUCGCUGCAUGCUACCAUCAACUGUAGAGUGUCAUUUCAUCUGUGUCUGCUCCCCUGCCCCUAACCAGUCCCCUGCAAGGUGAUAAGUUCUUCAAAGGCGAAAUUCAUCUUAUUCCCUUGGAAUAAAAAAGCAGCAGUGAUGCUGGACAUAGAAUCUGGAUUAUAAUCUCUGAGCACAAGAUGCUGCUAAGGAUCCUACAUACCCAAGAACCGACAUUUAAAGACAGGGUGCUUCGUGCCAUACACACCCUUACCCUAACACUACUGUCAACACCUGCAUGUAUAUUUUAUUAUCUCACUUUGAGAGCUGCUCCCUGUUUAGGCCAGCUGGAGAUCUUUUGACUGUUUGCUGUGAGGAGUUGCUGUAAUAUUAUGUUAACUAAAAGAUUACACCCAGCAGUUCAGUUUCUCUUGGAUUCUCUGCCAAGGCAGGUUAUCUCUUCUUAGAACAAGUGGAAAAGCUCGUUCCGGUGAACACAGGGCCUCCAGCCAUCAGCCUUCAGCCUCCAGCAGGAGAAGACAACAGUGAGCCUCUGGCCUGUCACAUUCUCUUUAGUAGCUAGCUCAGACUUCUUCCCCACAUCCUCAAGCCCCCCUCCUCACUUCAGAUUGUCAGCGCUCUCAGUGGUCCUGGAUAGGACAGACCCUAGAUAAGACUUCACUUGCUGUUACAUAGUACUCUUUAAGGAUUGUUAAAAGACCGGAUGUGUGCUUGUUUAAAUGACAAUGCCCCCCCCAGGCUCUUAGGGAGUGGCUUUAUUUGAAAGGAUUAGAACCUGUGGCCUUGCUGAAGUAGAUGUGGCAUUGUUGGAAGAUGUUUAUCUCCGGAAGGGUGGAAGGGUCAGGGCUUUGAGGACUCUAAAGCUCAAACCAGGUUAACUGUCUCUUUCUCCUGCUUGCCCAUCUAGAUGUAGAACUCUUGGCUCCUUCUCCAGCACCAUGGUUGCCUACAUGCCACCAUGACAAUAAUGGACCAAACCUCUGAACCCGUGAGCUAGCCCCAAUUAAAUAUUUUCCUUUGUAAAA